CCUACGGGUGGCUGCAGUGGGGAAUAUUGGACAAUGGGGGCAACCCUGAUCCAGCCAUGCCGCGUGUGUGAAGAAGGCCCUCGGGUUGUAAAGCACUUUCAGUGAGGAAGAACGCCUGGUGGUUAAUACCCAUCAGGAAAGACAUCACUCACAGAAGAAGCACCGGCUAACUCCGUGCCAGCAGCCGCGGUAAUACGGAGGGUGCGAGCGUUAAUCGGAAUUACUGGGCGUAAAGCGCGCGUAGGUGGCUUGAUAAGCCGGUUGUGAAAGCCCCGGGCUCAACCUGGGAACGGCAUCCGGAACUGUCAAGCUAGAGUGCAGGAGAGGAAGGUAGAAUUCCCGGUGUAGCGGUGAAAUGCGUAGAGAUCGGGAGGAAUACCAGUGGCGAAGGCGGCCUUCUGGACUGACACUGACACUGAGGUGCGAAAGCGUGGGUAGCAAACAGGAUUAGAUACCUUUGUAGUC
rnacentral:rRNA from 1 species